UUAAAGGCCUUUUUUUUGGAAAUCAUUGGCAGUAUUUAGAAGGUUACAGAUAUUUAAGCUAUAUUAAAAUGUUUUUAUUUCAAACGUUAUUUAACCAAAUAUAUCAUACAUAUUUAAAAUGUUUUUUCAACUAAAAAUAAUAUUAACAUUAUUUGGUGCUUCCAAGGGUAUUACAGGGUAACUAAAAAGUCGAAGACCGUAUAUUUUCGCUCCACUUCCUCUUCCCACAUUACAAUUCGGCAUGCUCCACUAAAUCGGCAAACGCGUUGUGGGAAUCGAUGACUCCACGAUGCGUUUAAAAUGCAUUACAAAGCACAAAGUUGUCAUAAAAAUUAAAUUAAAUAAAAGCCGAAAACAAGAAAACGUAUAAUAAAGCGACGAGAGGAGAAAAAGAUCAACUGACUUAAGCCAAUUAAACGAUUAGGGCAUUAUAGGUUACAAAUACGGCAGCAGUAAAGCACAAGCCGCUCACAAAUGGCAGAAAGACUUAAAAGUUAACAGCGGCCCUUCGGCUGCCCUCCGUCGACUUGAUUUAUGGGGUUCGAGCCUCGGUGGUGCAUCUUCUUUCUUUCCGCUGAAGUUUACGUCACAGGCGACACUAGACCCCAUCCCCUGGCAAAUGAUUUCAUCAUUUGAAGCUGCAGCUACGCAUUGCGAGAUCUUGGCUAUAUAAAUGUUAAUGUAAAUACCCGGCAUAAUGACAAUGAGAUGGAUGAAUGGUCAGAUGCCAAUCGCUUACUCUUUGUUCUAAUGACCAUUUUCUGCUUCUGGGCUCACAGUCUUAACUUGUGACCUAAUCAAGCAUGAUAAUCUUCUAUAGGAAUUGGAAAAAAGCAACCCAAUUAACUUUUGUUAGUUUUUUUGUACUUAUAGCGUUACCUAGUAAGAAAACCAUCAUGUAAGAACCAUUUUCACGGAGCAUUUCAUUGUCUACGAGCCAUUUUAAACUGUGGACAAUCAAAUUUACACAUUGCUCAACAUGAAUACAAAUUUUACACCACCAAAUUAUUCAAAAAGUGGAGCCCUUCAUCUUUCUUCGAGUGGCUCAUGAAUAGUGUGGUAUAGUUUGGCUAAUGUGCCAGACAAGUAGCAACCAGCAAUUGUCUGUGAAAAUCCAAAGCCAAGUCAACACGAGAAUUGCUGAAAAGAAAAUCAACAGCAGUGCCAACAAAAAGCAAGACAACCACUUUAAGACGACCCAGCGAACGAGCAGACGGCAUUAAAAGUGGAGAAUAAAUAGGAAGUCGAGAUAGGAACUUGGGCAACGCCAGACAAUGAUGAUGAACUACUGGUGUGGUGUGUGUGGCCCACUGAACUGGCCAAGUUAAUUGGAAAAUAAAACUUUCAAUUUCAUGGCGAAAUGCUAAUUUCUAGCCAAAGAAAAGUCAACUGGAAAAGCGGCAAGUCCAAUUGGCGUUUCCUUUGCCGGGGGUGAAGCAAAAGAAACACAGCAAAACUAACUGAAAAAUCACGGAAAUAGCAAAAAGAAGCAGAAACAUGGAAGAAAAAUCUUUCAUUACAAAGUAAUACCCUAACUUUAGUAAUAUUGUUCUUUAUUCACAUGUUAAAAUAUUUUAUUUUCACACUUAUUAGCAAAACUGUCUGACUAAAAACACAUUUAAAUAAAUGUUUUUAGAAAUUCUAA